rnacentral:rRNA from 1 species
GCGUUCGCGGUUGUAAACGCUCUUUGCGGCCGGGAAGAAAUCGCGAUGGGCCAAUACCCUGUNGCAGGAUGACGGUACCGGCAUAAUAACGCACCGGCUAUACUACGUGCCAGCAGCCGCGGUAAUACGUAGGGUGCGAGCGUUAAUCGGAAUUACUGGGCGUAAAGCGUGCGCAGGCGGUUAUGUAAGACAGGCGUGAAAUCCCCGGGCUCAACCUGGGAACUGCGCUUGUGACUGGAAGGCUAGAGUACGGCAGAGGGGGGUGGAAUUCCACGUGUAGCCGUGAAAUGCGUAGAUAUGUGGAGGAACACCCAUG